rnacentral:rRNA from 1 species
UACGGAGGGAGCUAGCGUUGUUCGGAAUUACUGGGCGCAAAGCGCGCGUAGGCGGCUUUGUAAGUUAGAGGUGAAAGCCCGGGGCUCAACCCCGGAACUGCCUUUAAAACUGCAUCGCUUGAAUCCGGGAGAGGUGAGUGGAAUUCCGAGUGUAGAGGUGAAAUUCGUAGAUAUUCGGAAGAACACCAGUGGCGAAGGCGGCUCACUGGACCGGUAUUGACGCUGAGGUGCGAAAGCGUGGGGAGCAAACAGG